AAAACAGUAAGAGUCAGUUUGAUCAAGUGCCUGCUGUGUGCCAGGCACCCUGACCUAGCCCUGCUCACGACGAUCCAGGAUGUAGGGACCAGUGGUGCUAUCCCGCUUUGCAGAGAAGAGAGUGAAGCUGAGAGAAGGAAGAUCCUCAGUCACCAGUAAGUGAACAAACGCUCACUGAGCACCCACGGAAUAUUAGGCACUGUACUCGGUGCCGGCAUUGUAGUAGUGAGCACGACUGACAAGGUCCCUGUUCUCGAGGAGCUUCCCGUCUAGUGAAGGGAACAACUAAGAAACAAGGAAACAGAUAAUUCCAGAAAGAGGAAAGUACCAUGGAGAAGGAAAUGGUGUGGAAGAGAGUGCCUGACACAGCGACUUUCACUCCACGCUGCUCUGUUCCCUUCCUCCUUCCUGGAUGACGGCUCAGGCCCUCACUUCUGCGUCCCAAUCAGAAUUCUAUUUUAUAUAGGAGAGUACACAUAUCGGACGGCUCUUCUACGCCAGCAUGAGACAUUAACAAGAAGUGUAGAGAUCGUGUGCGUUCCCCACCCACUCACCCACUCACUAUUUAAAGCACUCCGCUGCAGCCUUCACUCUGCUGGCACUGAGGGGUGGAGGGAGGGAAUGACAACGAAAUAAAUAUGCCAGCUCACCACUUUGGGGAAAAGAUGAGAGAAUUCUUUUAGGGCCUGUUUUUAAAUUAAAAAACAUUUGCUGUGAGACAAUAA